UGGGGAAUUUUGCACAAUGGGGGAAACCCUGAUGCAGCGACGCCGCGUGAUUUAGAAGGCCUUCGGGUUGUAAAAAUCUUUUCUAUGGGAAGAAAAUGACAGUACCAUAGGGAUAAGGACCGGCUAAUUACGUGCCAGCAGCCGCGGUAAUACGUAAGGUCCGAGCGUUGUCCGGAAUCAUUGGGCGUAAAGGGUACGUAGGCGGGUAAGCAAGUUAGAAGUGAAAUCCUAUAGCUCAACUAUAGUAAGCUUUUAAAACUGCUCAUCUUGAGGUAUGGAAGGGAAAGUGGAAUUCCUAGUGUAGCGGUGAAAUGCGCAGAUAUUAGGAGGAAUACCGGUGGCGAAGGCGACUUUCUGGCCAUAACCUGACGCUGAGGUACGAAAGCGUGGGUAGCAAACAGG
rnacentral:rRNA from 1 species